CCGGGACUAGACCCCAGGACUGGGAUGAGAGAGCUGCAGGCAGCGCAGAUCUUGCUGCCCACUGCGGAGCGGCUCGUGCUGGGACCCAGCGAUCUCCAGGUCGUCGAGCCGAGGGGUCUGUCUGAGAUACCUGCCAUCACCGUGGACCUCUAUCAGCCCUGACAGCAGGAUCGCUGACAUCUCUGCAGGGUGCCCUUGGCAUGAAGUUCCCAUGACGACGAUACGGCUUUCCAGGGAAACCGAUUCCUAGCUCCAAACCUGCAAGGUCCCAGCAUGCCUUGCAAGGUGUGGGGGCAGGGAUCACUCACCCUGCUGCUGAAAUGCAGCCACCUCUGGGGUGGAACGCACCGGAGAGGAAGUUGCCGCAAACCCUGCUGCAUGGAUGCUGAACUCCCAGGAAGCAGCCAGGGCUGUAGGAAUGCGAGAGCAGCAUUUGUCACCGGUUCACAGCGGUGAACA